rnacentral:rRNA from 1 species
GACGAACGCUGGCGGCGUGCUUAACACAUGCAAGUCGAACGAAGAGCGAUGGAAGCUUGCUUCUAUCAAUCUUAGUGGCGCACGGGUGAGUAACGCGUAAUCAACCUGCCCUUCAGAGGGGGACAACAGUUGGAAACGACUGCUAAUACCGCAUACGAUCUAAUCUCGGCAUCGAGGAUAGAUGAAAGGUGGCCUCUACAUGUAAGCUAUCACUGAAGGAGGGGAUUGCGUCUGAUUAGCUAGUUGGAGGGGUAACGGCCCACCAAGGCGAUGAUCAGUAGCCGGUCUGAGAGGAUGAACGGCCACAUUGGGACUGAGACACGGCCCAGACUCCUACGGGAGGCAGCAGUGGGGAAUCUUCCGCAAUGGACGAAAGUCUGACGGAGCAACGCCGCGUGAGUGAUGACGGCCUUCGGGUUGUAAAGCUCUGUUAAUCGGGACGAAAGGCCUUCUUGCGAACAGUUAGAAGGAUUGACGGUACCGGAAUAGAAAGCCACGGCUAACUACGU